AGAGUUUGAUCAUGGCUCAGAACGAACGCUGGCGGCGCGCUUAACACAUGCAAGUCGAGCGGUUUGGAGCAAUCCAGAUAGCGGCGAACGGGUGAGGAACACGUGGGUAAUCUGCCCUCGAGUCUGGGAUAACUCGGCGAAAGUCGAGCUAAUACCGGAUAAGCUCACAGUGCGGCAUCGCACAGUGGGAAAAGUGGCAACACGCUCAAGGAUGAGCCCGCGGCCCAUCAGCUAGUUGGCGGGGUAACGGCCCACCAAGGCUACGACGGGUAACUGGUCUGAGAGGACGACCAGUCACACUGGAACUGAGACACGGUCCAGACUCCUACGGGAGGCAGCAGUGGGGAAUCUUGCGCAAUGGGCGAAAGCCUGACGCAGCGACGCCGCGUGUGCGAUGAAGGUCCUUGGAUCGUAAAGCACUGUCGCGAGGGAAGAAACCUGACGGUACCUCGAAAGGAAGCACCGGCUAACUCUGUGCCAGCAGCCGCGGUAAUACAGAGGGUGCGAGCGUUGUUCGGAAUUAUUGGGCGUAAAGUGCAAGUAGGCGGCACAGCAAGUCGCGUGUGAAAGCUUCCGGCUCAACCGGAAAAGUGCGCGCGAAACUGCUGAGCUUGAGUCCCGGAGAGGGUGGCGGAAUUCCCGGUGUAGAGGUGAAAUUCGUAGAUAUCGGGAGGAACACCAGAUGCGAAGGCGGCCACCUGGAAGGGUACUGACGCUGAGAGGCGAAAGCGUGGGGAGCAAACAGGAUUAGAUACCCUGGUAGUCCACGCCGUAAACGAUGAGUGCUAGUUGUAGCGGGAGUUGACCCCUGCUGUGACGACGCUAACGCAAUAAGCACUCCGCCUGGGAAGUACGGCCGCAAGGCUAAAACUCAAAUGAAUUGACGG
rnacentral:rRNA from 1 species